ACAACCCCCAGUGUGUCAUUUUCUACCCUGCCGACGGCAGUACAUCGAGACUCGCGGGACUCUCCCCAAAGCCCUUGCAACCCACAAUUCCCCCACCGAAACCCUAACCGGCUAACCCUAGUCCGCUCGAUGCUGUGAUCCCGCCGCGCGCGUGCCCAUGACUCUCGACGGGCCUGCCGAGCGACGGGACGAGGGUCAGCAGGCAGCGAUGGCGAACGGGAACGGUAUGGCUCCGCUACCGCCGCGGAUGUCCGGUAUGCCGUCGGGGGCUGCGCUGCAUUCGGACCAACGGCUGCGGCUCCACCCGAACACGGAGCACGAGCCGCAGGACUACACCGAUGUGCGCGGCGAGUACGCGCCGGCCGUGUACAGCGCCCUGGAGCUGCACCUCCCGCCUAGCCUCCUCGAGGCCGACCGUGACGACAAGCUGCAAUUCAUGCAGAACAUCCUCUCGCGCUACUGGCCCCGUGGCGAACGCAACAAGGUUCAGAGGCACAAAGAAUACAGGCAAAAGAUACUCCACCUCUAUAAGCCGCUACAUGAAGAAUUAUACAGUAUGCAUGCUUCGGCUUUCUUUUUACCAACAUUCCUCGAAGCAGUUAGAACCAACACAAAAGAAAGUAUUGCAAGUAUAAUGGCUGAGCCAAUUCCUGGUGUUUUUUCAUUUCCUAUGCUACAGCCAAAAUUUUGUGAUAUGCUAUUUGAGGAGGUAGAUAACUUCGAGAGUUGGGUUCAUGCCAUGAAAUUUAAGAUAAUGAGACCAAAUACAAUGAACAAGUAUGGUGCUGUCCUUGAUGAUUUUGGCCUGGAGACUAUGUUGAACGACUUCAUGGAGAAGUUCAUAACCCCAAUUUCUAAAGUUUUUUAUCCUGAGGUGGGUGGAGGAACAUUAGACUCUCACCAUGCUUUCGUUGUUGAGUACGGGAAAGAUAGAGAUGUUGAACUAGGUUUCCAUGUUGAUGAUUCUGAGGUUACAUUAAAUGUUUGCCUUGGCAAGCAAUUCUCUGGCGGGCAAUUAUACUUUCGUGGCGUCCGUUGUGAGAAUCAUGUGAAUUCAGAGGCACAGCAGGAGGUACAUGGUGACUGGAAAUUUAUGACUACCCUCAUGUUCCUGGAUGGGCUGUACUUCAUCGUGGUCGUCAUAGGCAUGGUGCUAGACCAACAUCAUCUGGGCUUAGAAUGAAUCUUCUUUUGUGGUGCAGAAGCUCUGUGUUCAGGGAGAUGAAGAAAUACCAGACUGAUUUUUCUAACUGGUGUGGUGAGUGCCAACGCGAAAAGACGGAAAGACAAACUCAGUCUGUCAAAGCGACCAAGCUGGCAUUUCUUAGGGGUGUUGGAGGGGCAAUGAUUUAAGUCAUAUUUACUGGAUGUCUUUUAGACAAUCUGUAUCAUAUUAAACAUCGUUUUAUCAUUUCAGAAACAUCUAGUGUAAUCGUCAUUUUCUGCCAUCGUGUUCGAUGUCUGAUCACAGCUGUGUGUAAAUCUUAACUUGCUGUGGCCGAGUCCUAAAAGUUUAAUUAUAGGGGGGCGUAAAAGGAAACGCUAUUUCAGACUACCAACUUUCAAGGGCUCUCUUGCAAUGUACAUCUUCCUAGCACAUGAUUCCGUACCGUUUGAGAUUAUUUUGGUGACCUGAUUAUUUGCAA